UACGUAGGGCGCAAGCGUUGUCCGGAAUUAUUGGGCGUAAAGAGCUCGUAGGCGGUUUGUCGCGUCGGCUGUGAAAACCCGGAGCUCAACUCCGGGCCUGCAGUCGAUACGGGCAAACUGGAGUGUUGCAGGGGAGACUGGAAUUCCUGGUGUAGCGGUGAAAUGCGCAGAUAUCAGGAGGAACACCGGUGGCGAAGGCGGGUCUCUGGGCAACAACUGACGCUGAGGAGCGAAAGCGUGGGGAGCAAACGGG
rnacentral:rRNA from 1 species